rnacentral:tRNA from 1 species
GUUAGGGUAGCAAAGUGUUAAUGCAAAAGAUUUAGGUUCUUUGAUCAAAGGUUAAAUUCCUUUUUCUAAUU